rnacentral:misc_RNA from 1 species
UGAUGAAGAACGUAGCGAAAUGCGAUACGUAAUGUGAAUUGCAGAAUUCAGUGAAUCAUCGAAUCUUUGAACGCAUAUUGCGCUCUCUGGUAUUCCGGAGAGCAUGCUUGUUUGAGUAUCAGUAAACACCUCAACUUCCAUAUCUUUUUUGAAAUGGGAGUUGGACUUGAGUGAUCCCAACGCUUUUCCUCACCGAAAAGUGGCGGGUUACUUGAAAUGCAGGUGCAGCUGGACUUUUCUCUGAGCUAUAAGCAUAUCUAUUUAGUCUGCCUAAAAAACAGAUUAUUACCUUUGCUGCAGCUAACAUAAAGGAGAUUAGUUCUUGUGCUGACUGAUGCAGGAUUCACAAAGACAGCUUCGGCCGACUUUGUAAACUCGAUCUCAAAUCAAGUAAGACUACCCGCUGAACUUAAGCAUAUCAAUAAGCGGAGGA